AUUGAACGCUGGCGGCAUGCCUUACACAUGCAAGUCGAACGGUAACAGGUCUUCGGAUGCUGACGAGUGGCGAACGGGUGAGUAAUACAUCGGAACGUGCCUAGUAGUGGGGGAUAACUACUCGAAAGAGUGGCUAAUACCGCAUGAGAUCUACGGAUGAAAGCAGGGGAUCGCAAGACCUUGUGCUACUAGAGCGGCCGAUGGCAGAUUAGGUAGUUGGUGGGAUAAAAGCUUACCAAGCCGACGAUCUGUGGCUGGUCUGAGAGGACGAUCAGCCAAACUGGGACUGAGACACGGCCCAGACUCCUACGGGAGGCAGCAGUGGGGAAUUUUGGACAAUGGGCGAAAGCCUGAUCCAGCAAUGCCGCGUGCAGGAUGAAGGCCUUCGGGUUGUAAACUGCUUUUGUACGGAACGAAAAGCCCCGGGUUAAUACCCUGGGGUCAUGACGGUACCGUAAGAAUAAGCACCGGCUAACUACGUGCCAGCAGCCGCAGUAA
rnacentral:rRNA from 1 species